AAUGUACCAAAUCCACCRCCAGGAGUGGAGCRCAGGGCUUAAUUUGACUCAACACGGGGAAACUUACCAGGUCCACACAUAGUUAGGAUUGGAAGAUUGAAAGCUCUUUAYUUGAUUCUAUGGGUGGUGGUGCAUGGCCGUCAGUAGUUGGCGGGAUGAUUUGUCUGGUUAAUUCCUUUAACGAACGAGACCUUAACCGGAGUUCCUAGUUASUCUUAUGUAAAUAGGAGGGAAACUUUGUAGAGGGACUUUGUGUGCAAGCACAAGGAAGUUAGAGGCAAUAACAGGCARGUGAUGCCCUUAGAUGUCCUGGGCAACACGCGCGCUARCAGACAUAUGCAACAAGUUUUACUUCCCCGUCUAGGAAGAGGACGGGUAAUCUUGAAUAAAGUAUGUCGUGCUAGGGAUAGAUCUUUGGAAUUAUAGAUCUCAACGAGGAAUCCUAGUAAGCAA
rnacentral:rRNA from 1 species